GCCCAGCCACCCUCCGCCUCUUCUUCCAUGACUGCUUCGUCGAGGGAUGUGAUGCUUCUAUAUUGAUAUCGCCGGGGUUGAGCGAAGAAAAGGUGGAGAGGGACGUUGAGGAUAACAAGAACUUGGCCCCUGAAGGGUUUGAGACUAUAAGCAUUGCCAAGGAGGCGGUGGAGGGUAAGUGCCCCGGCAUCGUCUCUUGUUCCGACAUUCUCGCCAUUGCCGCAAGGGAUUUCGUCCAUCAGGCUGGAGGUCCUUACUACACAGUAAAGAAAGGCAGGCGUGACAGCCGAGUUUCACUAGCAUCGAAAGUUCCU
rnacentral:misc_RNA from 1 species